rnacentral:sRNA from 1 species
UGACCGCCCCCUUUGUCCCAAAGGGGAGCCAAGGCCAUACGGACAGCCGGGUCAAAUGCCGA